rnacentral:rRNA from 1 species
GUGUCAGCAGCCGCGGUAAUACAGAGGUGGCAAGCGUUGUUCGGAUUUAUUGGGCGUAAAGGGUCCGUAGGCGGCCUGAAAAGUUGGAUGUGAAAUCCCACAGCUUAACUGUGGAACUGCAUUCAAAACUUUCAGGCUCGAGUGUGAUAGGGGUAAAGGGAAUUCCCGGUGUAAGGGUGAAAUCUGCAGAGAUCGGGAGGAACACCAGUCGCGAAGGCGCUUUACUGGAUCACUACUGACGCUGAGGGACGAAAGCCAGGGGAGCAAACGGGAUUAGAAACCCGCGUAGUCC